rnacentral:rRNA from 1 species
GAUGAACGCUGGCGGCGUGCCUAAUACAUGCAAGUCGAGCGAAUGGAUUAAGAGCUUGCUCUUAUGAAGUUAGCGGCGGACGGGUGAGUAACACGUGGGUAACCUGCCCAAAAGAAGGGGAUAACAUUUGGAAACAAGUGCUAAUACCGUAUAACCAUGAUGACCGCAUGGUCAUGAUGUAAAAGGUGGUUUUGCUAUCGCUUUUGGAUGGACCCGCGGCGUAUUAACUAGUUGGUAAGGUAACGGCUUACCAAGGUGAUGAUACGUAGCCGAACUGAGAGGUUGAUCGGCCACAAUGGGACUGAGACACGGCCCAUACUCCUACGGGAGGCAGCAGUAGGGAAUCUUCCACAAUGGGCGCAAGCCUGAUGGAGCAACGCCGCGUGAAUGAAGAAGGUCUUCGGAUCGUAAAGUUCUGUUAUUAGAGAAGAACACGUGUAAGAGUAACUGAUUAUGCGUUGACGGUAUCUAAUCAGCAAGUCACGGCUAACUACGUGCCAGCAGCCGCCGUAACAC